UGACAUCAUAAUAAUAAAAGGAACAACUAGGUGGCCAGGCUUUUCUGAGCACAUGGAAACAAGAUUCUUCCAUGAUUUUGCCGGUGCCCACAGGCUCGCCAGCACCUAACAUUAGAGGUGGAUGGAACAGUGAGGUCAUUGAGGCCCAUCGCUAAUGUUAUAGAUGAGGAACCUGAGGCUCAGAAAGCCCAAGUGACUGUUCUGUGAUCACCUGGCUGAACCAGGAGCCAAAGCCCAGUCUCCUGACACUUCCUGCCCUCUGCCCUGUCUCCAGGCCAUGCCCUCUUCUCUGAUGGAUAAUAAAAAGAAAAGGCAAGUCUAAUCUUCUCUAUCUCUGCCUCUCCAAGACCUGGCACAAAGCCUGACAAUAUGCUGGCUCUCAAAAUAUCUGUUAACUGGAUAUUAAGAAAUUCUCGAUGGUCUGUCCACGAGGUGUCUCUUAAGUGAUAAAAGGGAACCCUCUCUCCUGGUUCAAGAGCUUCAAACACACACACACACACACAAGAUUACUGGAAGCAAAACAGAAGAAGCUACCAGUCCUGCCACCCCCGGGCAUUCCCAGAACUCACAUGUGAGGGCAUACAAGAGAAGGCAACUGAGGGAAGGGUGGCCCGGCACAGCCCGGACACACUGCCCAGUUGCUCCCAGCAGGCCAGCCUUGCGUGACAGACUGCUUUAGCUUGAGGUGUAGGAUUCAGAAGAAAGGAGCCAAGCCCUGUGAAUGUGUCUUUGUUGCCUCCGAGGCGAGGAGUUGCCAGGAUCUGUGGUUUGGCUGUGGAAUGAGCAGUGGAAGCACUUUCUCUUCCAUUACAUGUGCAAUAACAGCCUGGCUGAUCCCAGUCGUGUGAAAAAACAUUAACGAGUAAAUUAAAAACAUCCUAACUUGGGACUUCCCUAGUGGCUCAGUGGUGAAGAUGCGUGUGCCGAUGCAAGGGAUAUGGGUUCGAUUCCUGGUCCAGGAAGAUCCCACACGCAGCAGAGCGGCUAGGCCUGGACACCACAACUACUGAGCCUGUGCUCUGGAGCCUGUGAGCUCAACUACUGACCACCUGCUGCAACUACUGAAGCCCACGCACCCUCGAGCCUGUGCUCCACAAGAGAAGCCACUGCAAUAAGCAGCCCGCACACCACAACUAGAGCGUAGUCACCACUCACUGCAAGUAGCAAAAACCCAGGGCAGCAAUGAAGACUCAGCACAACAGAA
ensembl:lncRNA